GACGUAGGGUGCGAGCGUUGUCCGGAUUUAUUGGGCGUAAAGAGCUCGUAGGCGGCUCGUCGCGUCGACCGUGAAAACCCGCGGCUUAACUGCGGGCUUGCGGUUGAUACGGGCGGGCUAGAGUUCGGUAGGGGAGACUGGAAUUCCUGGUGUAGGCGGUGAAAUGCGCAGAUAUCAGGAGGAACACCGGUGGCGAAGGCGGGUCUCUGGGCCGAUACUGACGCUGAGGAGCGAAAGCGUGGGGAGCGAACAGG
rnacentral:rRNA from 1 species